rnacentral:rRNA from 1 species
CCUACGGGAGGCUGCAGUGAGGAAUAUUGGUCAAUGGCCGGAAGGCUGAACCAGCCAUGCCGCGUGAAGGUCAGUGCCCUAUGGGCGUUAAACUUCUUUUGUGCGGGAGCAAUAAUGGUCACGUGUGGCCAGACGAGAGUACCGUACGAAUAAGCAUCGGCUAACUCCGUGCCAGCAGCCGCGGUAAUACGGGGGAUGCAAGCGUUAUCCGGAUUUAUUGGGUUUAAAGGGUGCGUAGGCUGGGAGGUAAGUCAGCGGGGAAAUGCCCCCGCUCAACGGGGUGAAGUGCCAUUGAUACUGCCUUGCUGGAAGGCGGAUGCCGUGGGAGGAAUGUGUGGUGUAGCGGUGAAAUGCAUAGAUAUCACACAGAACACCGAUUGCGAAGGCAUCUCACGAAUCCGCGAUUGACGCUGAUGCACGAAAGCGUGGGUAUCAAACAGGAUUAGAUACCCCAGUAGUC